CUUAAUGGCUUUUAUUUUAUUAAUACUAAUAAACGGGUUCUUAUAACAAAAACAAAUAGUCCCAAAUAGGCAACUGAAACAAAGUCGACAAUUACACCUAAUCACAAAAGGGUUCUUCAUCUUCCCAAAUCAACUGCCAUCAGAUCGAAAUUCAGGGUUCUUCAUCUUCCCAACUCAUCCGCUGAAGCUAUCCAGCUGCGAUGGUUAAGUCUAGCUGUGAAUCGAUUUAGGUGUAUCUUGUUGUAUCUCUUCAUGUGCCUUAGAAUUACUUCCGUCUUGCUGCUGUGAAGGGAUUAUUUUGCGAAGCUGCUCUAUGUCUGGCCAUCCGUAGGAGAAUUUCCAACAACUUCAUGCUCCAAUUCCUCCAAAAUUUCGAUGCGUGAUACUUCAUUUUCUGUCCACUUGACAUAUGGAGAUCCAUGUAAAUACAAUAUCUUAUUCAUUUCAAUAGGCUGAACAGAAGGUUUUGGAUUUUGAUCAUUUGUAUUUAAAUAAGAAGGUUUCAAGAGACUAGCAUAUUGGAUUUUGUUCUCAGUA